GCUGGCGUAGCUCAAUUGGUAGAGCAGCUGAUUUGUAAUCAGCUGGUUAGGGGUUCAAGUCCUCCCGCCAGCUCAA
rnacentral:tRNA from 1 species